AAAAAGGCCAAGCUCCAAGGACCUCCAGGCAAGUUUAAUGUGUAUGUCACGCUGAAGGUCCAGAAUGUUAAAAGCACAACCAUCACAGUGCGAGGAGACCGGCCCUGCUGGGAACAGGAUUUCAUGUUUGAGAUUAAUCGUCUGGACCUGGGUCUGGUUGUGGAGGUGUGGAAUAAAGGGCUCAUCUGGGACAUCUUGAUAGGAACAGCAUGGAUCCCACUUAACACCAUACGCCAAUCAGAUGAGGAGGGGCCUGGAGAAUGGACCUCACUGGAUUCAGAGGUUCUGAUGAAGGAAGAUGAGAUAUAUGGCAC